ensembl:lncRNA
UCACCCGGGCACGCAGGAGACGAGCUUCCACUAGCUUUUGCUGGAAGAUGUUGACAUGCUGCAGCCCCAGAUUCCAGACUCCAAAUAAAUCUUCAGUUGCCUGAUAAUCGUCUCCCCGCCAGCUUCUUCCCACCAAGUGCUGUUCCACGGGGUCAGCUGAAAUGCAGAUUCUCCAGGAAGGAUGAUGGGCGCUCAGUGGCAGAAUCCGUACCGCUGAGCCGCCGGGUUAAGGCCAGUCACUCUGGAAACAUCAGCUGUGGCCCAUUUGAAGCAUCCCGAGGGAGCAGGUUAGACAUGCAGGUUCGCAGGCCCCACCCAGAUUUAAUGGUGUGGAAACUCCAGGGCAUUCACGCACGGUUCAGCCACGUGUCUCAUCCCCACCGUUCACUUCCCACCUUAACCUCAGCGAUGUCAGAUUCCGCAGGUCACCAUAGUCUCCGUGUGGAUGGCACCUCCAGCCAUCGAGAAGCUGGAAACGGGGCUGCAGAGACCUGGUUUCCUGUGAAGUCGAUUGCGGACGUGGGACAGCGGCACGCACUCCGGUUGGGGUUCAGUGGGCCGCAGCCCACCCCAGAAGGCCUCAGCUCUCCCCACGGGGGUGUUCCACAGUCUGCCUGCAGCGGCUCCACAUGCAAGGACCUGCCUUGGUUUCGUCCUUAGAAACGUCGCCAGCAUCCGGUGCAGAGUGUCACAGAGCCUUGGUUUGCAUCUGAUAUGGGUGAGUACAUGAAUGGAUGAUUUUUUUUUUUCCUGAAAAUUGGCGUUGAGGCGUCUACUCGUACAUUUAUCCUGCCUUUUCACUGAACGUAUUAUGACAUCUGAUGUUCCUCAAGAGACAAGAGCUUUUAGGCGGAAAGAGUUCAUUUCAUGCAGUGAUCACGUGCAUGCGUCGUAUACACUUGUCGCCAAGUUCUUGCCGUCCCAAAGAGCUGAUAACUGCUCUGUAGAUUUCUGAAUAUUGUGAAUGUUCAUAGACUUUAGAUUCCCAGAAAUGGACUUGCUAGAUCAAAGCACACACACACUUAUGUAUUUAUAAAUGCAUUUUUACUUGAAGGAUAAUUGCUUUGCACUAUUGUGUUGGUCUCUGCCAUACAUCAACAUGAAUCAGCCAUAGGUUUACUUAUGUCCUCUCCCUCUGAACCUCCCUGGUGCCUCCCACCCCAUCCCGCCCCUCUGGGUCGUCCCAGAGCACAGGGUUUGAGCUCCCUGUGUCACACAGCAGGUUUCCACUGGCCGUCUAACUUUACACAUGGUAGUGUCGAUGUUUUGGUACUACUCUCAAUGCAUCCCACCAGCUCCUUCCCCGGCUGCUGUGUCCACAGUCUGCUCUCUACGUCUGUAUCUCCACCGCCGCCCUGCAGAUAGGUUCAUCGGUCCCAUCUUUCUGGACUCCAUAUAUAGCGCUAAUAUGUGUUAUUUGUCUUUCAACCUCUUUCUGACUUACUUCACUCUGUAUAACAGGCUCUAGGCUCACCCAUCUCGUCAGAACUGAGUCAGAAGCAUUCCUUUUUAUGGCCGAGUGAUAUUCCAUUGUGUGUAUGAACCGCAGCUUCUUUACCCACUCAUCUGUCACUGGACGUCUGGGUUGCUUCCAUGUCCUAGAUGCUGUAGAUGCAAGGCACACACACGUUUUAGGCUGUGGUCCCUAUGACCACAAUCGUGCUCGACCACCAGCAUUUGAGAAUGUCCGUUUCCUUGGAACCUUCCUGACUUCCCUCCACGUUGGCACUUGGACACGUCGCCUUCCCCGAGCCCUGCUGCGCCGGGCGUCUGUUUUGAUAUCAGAACUGUGAUGCGGGGUCUGUGUUGUGUUUAUCGCACAUGUGAACAUCCUCCUGUAAACAGUCGAUUCACAUCCUUUGCCCACUUUUCUACUUUGAGUGUUCAGCUUUCUCUCUGACGUGGCUCUUCACGUACUGGUGAAAUAAAGCCCUCUACUGUCGCCUCUGUUUCUACA